rfam:Schistosoma margrebowiei strain Zambia genome assembly, scaffold: SMRZ_scaffold0000204
AUCUAGCUGACGAGUCCCAAGCGGGACAAAGCACGCGUCCUGGAU